rnacentral:rRNA from 1 species
CUUGCUUUCUUUGCCGGCGACCGGCGCACGGGUGAGUAACACGUAUCCAACCUACCCUUUACUCGGGGAUAGCCUUUCGAAAGAAAGAUUAAUACCCGAUAGCAUAAUGAUUCCGCAUGGUUUCAUUAUUAAAGGAUUCCGGUAAAGGAUGGGGAUGCGUUCCAUUAGGUUGUUGGUGGGGUAACGGCCCACCAAGCCUUCGAUGGAUAGGGGUUCUGAGAGGAAGGUCCCCCACAUUGGAACUGAGACACGGUCCAAACUCCUACGGGAGGCAGCAUG